rnacentral:lncRNA from 1 species
UCUUUCAAAUGUUCUGACCUAUCUUUUUUGAACAGCUGUGUUUCAGGUUUCAUCUCUUUCCAUCUCUCCACCAACCUUGUUAAAAUCUAGGUGCAUGGGCCAGAAAGAGAAAUAAAAAACCAAGCACUGUCAGAAGUUCCAAAUCUCCUGCCACGUUUUGCUUCUGCUUGCGCAGUUGAAGAGAAGGAAAGGCAAGGAGCAGCUCAGUGAUAGGGACUCCACGUUCCUUGCUGGGUGAUGGGCUGGUGAAACCUGCAGCACUCUUAGCUGCAAAGCCGUGUCCCCUUGGACAGCACAGGGGAAAGUCCUGGCUCCUGGGACCUCUUCACCUUCUACACCCUAAAGAAGUCACAGGCAUUCCCCCAGGCUUUGAGAGGCCAGCUGCUGCCUCCCCAAGUUUGGAAAAAUUGGAACUCCCUCUGAAUGGAUUUGGACUCCGUAAGCUGAUCCUGCCUUUGCCCAGACUGCUGUUACAAAAUGGAUUAAGGGAUUCUGUUCAUCAUUCUGGUAACCUUCAUCUCCAGUCACUCCAAUCUGAAUUUCUCUUUCCUUGAAUAUGGGUGUGCAGACUAAAGACUUGGAUAAGGUAAGAUAUGAAUCAGGUGUAGUCUUGCCCAU